CCUACGGGUGGCAGCAGUGAGGAAUAUUGGUCAAUGGACGCGAGUCUGAACCAGCCAAGUAGCGUGAAGGAUGACUGCCCUACGGGUUGUAAACUUCUUUUAUAUGGGAAUAAAAUGUUCCACGUGUGCGUUUUUGUAUGUACUAUAUGAAUAAGGAUCGGCUAACUCCGUGCCAGCAGCCGCGGUAAUACGGAGGAUCCGAGCGUUAUCCGGAUUUAUUGGGUUUAAAGGGAGCGUAGGUGGGUUGUUAAGUCAGUUGUGAAAGUUUGCGGCUCAACCGUAAAAUUGCAAUUGAUACUGGCAGUCUUGAGUACAGUUGAGGUAGGCGGAAUUCGUGGUGUAGCGGUGAAAUGCUUAGAUAUCACGAAGAACUCCGAUUGCGAAGGCAGCUCACUGAACUGCAACUGACACUGAUGCUCGAAAGUGUGGGUAUCAAACAGGAUUAGAUACCCCAGUAGUC
rnacentral:rRNA from 1 species